rnacentral:rRNA from 1 species
AGAGUUUGAUCCUGGCUCAGGACGAACGCUGGCGGCGUGCUUAACACAUGCAAGUCGAACGGAAAGGCCCUUCGGGGUACUCGAGUGGCGAACGGGUGAGUAACACGUGGGUGAUCUGCCCUGCACUCUGGGAUAAGCCUGGGAAACUGGGUCUAAUACCGGAUAGGACCGCAUGCUUCAUGGUGUGUGGUGCAAAGCUUUUGCGGUGUGGGAUGAGCCCGCGGCCUAUCAGCUUGUUGGUGGGGUAAUGGCCUACCAAGGCGACGACGGGUAGCCGGCCUGAGAGGGUGACCGGCCACACUGGGACUGAGAUACGGCCCAGACUCCUACGGGAGGCAGCAGUGGGAAAUAUUGCACAAUGGGCGCAAGCCUGAUGCAGCGACGCCGCGUGAGGGAUGACGGCCUUCGGGUUGUAAACCUCUUUCAGUAGGGACGAAGCGAAAGUGACGGUACCUACAGAAGAAGGACCGGCCAACUACGUGCCAGCAGCCGCGGUAAUACGUAGGGUCCGAGCGUUGUCCGGAAUUACUGGGCGUAAAGAGCUCGUAGGUGGUUUGUCGCGUUGUUCGUGAAAACUCACAGCUUAACUGUGGGCGUGCGGGCGAUACGGGCAGACUAGAGUACUGCAGGGGAGACUGGAAUUCCUGGUGUAGCGGUGGAAUGCGCAGAUAUCAGGAGGAACACCGGUGGCGAAGGCGGGUCUCUGGGCAGUAACUGACGCUGAGGAGCGAAAGCGUGGGUAGCGAACAGGAUUAGAUACCCUGGUAGUCCAA